GACGAACGCUGGCGGCGUGCCUAACACAUGCAAGUCGAGCGAAUGAAGUUCCUUCGGGAAUGGAUUUAGCGGCGGACGGGUGAGUAACACGUGGGCAACCUGCCUCAUAGAGGGGAAUAGCCUUCCGAAAGGGAGAUUAAUACCGCAUAAGAUUGUAGCACCGCAUGAUACAGCAACUAAAGGAGCAAUCCGCUAUGAGAUGGGCCCGCGGCGCAUUAGCUAGUUGGUGAGGUAAUGGCUCACCAAGGCGACGAUGCGUAGCCGACCUGAGAGGGUGAUCGGCCACAUUGGGACUGAGACACGGCCCAGACUCCUACGGGAGGCAGCAGUGGGGAAUAUUGCACAAUGGGGGAAACCCUGAUGCAGCAACGCCGCGUGAGUGAUGACGGCCUUCGGGUUGUAAAGCUCUGUCUUCAGGGACGAUAAUGACGGUACCUGAGGAGGAAGCCACGGCUAACUCCGUGCCAGCAGCCGCCGUAAUAC
rnacentral:rRNA from 1 species